CCUGUUCGAGCGUCAUUAUAACCACUCAAGCCUGGCUUGGUAUUGGAGCUUGCGGUCCCGCAGCCCCUAAAAUCAGUGGCGGUGCCGGUUGGCUCUACGCGUAGUAAUUUAUCUCGCUAUAGGGUCCCUCCGGUUGCUUGCCAGAACCCCUAUUUUUACAGGUUGACCUCGGAUCAGGUAGGGAUACCCGCUGAACUUAA
rnacentral:misc_RNA from 1 species